rnacentral:tRNA from 1 species
GCGCCCAUAGCUCAGCUGGAUAGAGCAACGGACUACGAAUCCGUAGGUUGGGGGUUCGAAUCCCUCUGGGCGCGCCA